rnacentral:rRNA from 1 species
UGUGUGUUAGUGGAAGCGUCUGGAAAGGCGCGCGAUACAGGGUGACAGCCCCGUACACAAAAAUGCACAUGCUGUGAGCUCGAUGAGUAGGGCGGGACACGUGGUAUCCUGUCUGAAUAUGGGGGGACCAUCCUCCAAGGCUAAAUACUCCUGACUGACCGAUAGUGAACCAGUACCGUGAGGGAAAGGCGAAAAGAACCCCGGCGAGGGGAGUGAAAAAGAACCUGAAACCGUGUACGUACAAGCAGUGGGAGCACGCUUAGGCGUGUGACUGCGUACCUUUUGUAUAAUGGGUCAGCGACUUAUAUUCUGUAGCAAGGUUAACCGAAUAGGGGAGCCGAAGGGAAACCGAGUCUUAACUGGGCGUUAAGUUGCAGGGUAUAGACCCGAAACCCGGUGAUCUAGCCAUGGGCAGGUUGAAGGUUGGGUAACACUAACUGGAGGACCGAACCGACUAAUGUUGAAAAAUUAGCGGAUGACUUGUGGCUGGGGGUGAAAGGCCAAUCAAACCGGGAGAUAGCUGGUUCUCCCCGAAAGCUAUUUAGGUAGCGCCUCGUGAAUUCAUCUCCGGGGGUAGAGCACUGUUUCGGCAAGGGGGUCAUCCCGACUUACCAACCCGAUGCAAACUGCGAAUACCGGAGAAUGUUAUCACGGGAGACACACGGCGGGUGCUAACGUCCGUCGUGAAGAGGGAAACAACCCAGACCGCCAGCUAAGGUCCCAAAGUCAUGGUUAAGUGGGAAACGAUGUGGGAAGGCCCAGACAGCCAGGAUGUUGGCUUAGAAGCAGCCAUCAUUUAAAGAAAGCGUAAUAGCUCACUGGUCGAGUCGGCCUGCGCGGAAGAUGUAACGGGGCUAAACCAUGCACCGAAGCUGCGGCAGCGACGCUUAUGCGUUGUUGGGUAGGGGAGCGUUCUGUAAGCCUGUGAAGGUGUGCUGUGAGGCAUGCUGGAGGUAUCAGAAGUGCGAAUGCUGACAUAAGUAACGAUAAAGCGGGUGAAAAGCCCGCUCGCCGGAAGACCAAGGGUUCCUGUCCAACGUUAAUCGGGGCAGGGUGAGUCGACCCCUAAGGCGAGGCCGAAAGGCGUAGUCGAUGGGAAACAGGUUAAUAUUCCUGUACUUGGUGUUACUGCGAAGGGGGGACGGAGAAGGCUAUGUUGGCCGGGCGACGGUUGUCCCGGUUUAAGCGUGUAGGCUGGUUUUCCAGGCAAAUCCGGAAAAUCAAGGCUGAGGCGUGAUGACGAGGCACUACGGUGCUGAAGCAACAAAUGCCCUGCUUCCAGGAAAAGCCUCUAAGCAUCAGGUAACAUCAAAUCGUACCCCAAACCGACACAGGUGGUCAGGUAGAGAAUACCAAGGCGCUUGAGAGAACUCGGGUGAAGGAACUAGGCAAAAUGGUGCCGUAACUUCGGGAGAAGGCACGCUGAUAUGUAGGUGAAGCGACUUGCUCGUGGAGCUGAAAUCAGUCGAAGAUACCAGCUGGCUGCAACUGUUUAUUAAAAACACAGCACUGUGCAAACACGAAAGUGGACGUAUACGGUGUGACGCCUGCCCGGUGCCGGAAGGUUAAUUGAUGGGGUCAGCGCAAGCGAAGCUCUUGAUCGAAGCCCCGGUAAACGGCGGCCGUAACUAUAACGGUCCUAAGGUAGCGAAAUUCCUUGUCGGGUAAGUUCCGACCUGCACGAAUGGCGUAAUGAUGGCCAGGCUGUCUCCACCCGAGACUCAGUGAAAUUGAACUCGCUGUGAAGAUGCAGUGUACCCGCGGCAAGACGGAAAGACCCCGUGAACCUUUACUAUAGCUUGACACUGAACAUUGAGCCUUGAUGUGUAGGAUAGGUGGGAGGCUUUGAAGUGUGGACGCCAGUCUGCAUGGAGCCGACCUUGAAAUACCACCCUUUAAUGUUUGAUGUUCUAACGUUGACCCGUAAUCCGGGUUGCGGACAGUGUCUGGUGGGUAGUUUGACUGGGGCGGUCUCCUCCUAAAGAGUAACGGAGGAGCACGAAGGUUGGCUAAUCCUGGUCGGACAUCAGGAGGUUAGUGCAAUGGCAUAAGCCAGCUUGACUGCGAGCGUGACGGCGCGAGCAGGUGCGAAAGCAGGUCAUAGUGAUCCGGUGGUUCUGAAUGGAAGGGCCAUCGCUCAACGGAUAAAAGGUACUCCGGGGAUAACAGGCUGAUACCGCCCAAGAGUUCAUAUCGACGGCGGUGUUUGGCACCUCGAUGUCGGCUCAUCACAUCCUGGGGCUGAAGUAGGUCCCAAGGGUAUGGCUGUUCGCCAUUUAAAGUGGUACGCGAGCUGGGUUUAGAACGUCGUGAGACAGUUCGGUCCCUAUCUGCCGUGGGCGCUGGAGAACUGAGGGGGGCUGCUCCUAGUACGAGAGGACCGGAGUGGACGCAUCACUGGUGUUCGGGUUGUCAUGCCAAUGGCACUGCCCGGUAGCUAAAUGCGGAAGAGAUAAGUGCUGAAAGCAUCUAAGCACGAAACUUGCCCCGAGAUGAGUUCUCCCUGACUCCUUGAGAGUCCUGAAGGAACGUUGAAGACGACGACGUUGAUAGGCCGGGUGUGUAAGCGCAGCGAUGCGUUGAGCUAA